CCUACGGGAGGCAGCAGUGGGGAAUAUUGCACAAUGGGGGAAACCCUGAUGCAGCGACGCCGCGUGAGUGAAGAAGUAUUUCGGUAUGUAAAGCUCUAUCAGCAGGGAAGAAACAAGACGGUACCUGACUAAGAAGCCCCGGCUAACUACGUGCCAGCAGCCGCGGUAAUACGUAGGGGGCAAGCGUUAUCCGGAUUUACUGGGUGUAAAGGGAGCGUAGACGGUUUGGCAAGUCUGAAGUGAAAGCCCAGGGCUUAACCCUGGGACUGCUUUGGAAACUGUUAGACUGGAGUGCUGGAGAGGUAAGUGGAAUUCCUAGUGUAGCGGUGAAAUGCGUAGAUAUUAGGAGGAACACCAGUGGCGAAGGCGGCUUACUGGACAGUAACUGACGUUGAGGCUCGAAAGCGUGGGGAGCAAACAGGAUUAGAUACCCCAGUAGUC
rnacentral:rRNA from 1 species